rnacentral:ncRNA from 1 species
GAUAUCACACGACUUGAAAUUUUAUAAACGAUGGUGAAACAGGUGGGAAUCCUGUGCUGUCCCGCAACUGUAAGUUCUAACGAGCAAGCCAGAUCCCAUCUCUAUAAGCGUACGAC